UUUUGUAAACAGCUUCUUAAAAUGUAUUUGUGGACGAGUAUUUGUUUUGUGCUGCAGGGAUGGGGUGCGGCGUUGGGAGCGCUGGGUUUCGUGACCAGGUGGUGGGGCUGGGCUAUCUGUGGGAGACAUGGACAGAGGCAGAACAGGUAGUGGUGGUGUACUCCCUUAUCAGGCGCCUCAGUCCAAUCCCUGCAAGAUUCCUCCUCAACGUGCUCACCCACACCACCGCGCCCGACGCCGCCGACCUUGCCCCUGCCGAGGCCACUGCCAAUGACCCAGGGCCAUUGCCACACCAGCACUUAAAGCCUACAUGAUGACAGUCUUGUUUGACAAACAAUAAUUCAGACUUGAGCCAGUAACCCGAACCAGAACUUACUGCAUAUGUGAUGACAGUUUUGUCAGACCAGCAUUGAAAAUUCAGACCUUGGCAAAUUCUUCAAGUGGUGUGAUAGAUUGAAUAAAGACUCUUGUUGACUGAGACUAUCCAUGACUCACCGUGACUGCAGCUUGACACUUGCUUCCAUAUUUACGGCAAUGCAAUUUCAGAUAUUUACACGAUGCAGUAUAGAAAAAGUAGCAGUAAUAUCACAUAUAGCGUCACUGUUUGUGAAAUAAAUUUGCAGAGAGGUUGAGUGUACUUAUAUUGGAGAGAAAGUAUAAAUAAAAUUGAUGGUGCUAAGAGUGCAAACCCAGUGUUCUUACUUGGGUAAAUGAGUUACUGUACAAAGAUUUUUGUGAGUAUUAAAAUUAGAAAUGAUAAUAUAGCAAAUAAAGAAAUAACAGUGAAAUUAGUGUUAGCAAUGUAAAACCAAACUAAGCCAGUGAUACAAUUAAAUUAGAGAAGUGGCAGAAAAUAUUUGGAAACUAAAUAUAAAUUACAGGGAGGGAAUGCUCACUUCUGCCCAGGUCUAAGGCACAAAUUGAAUGAAGGCAACACACUCAAGAUACCAAAUGCUACUGAAAAAUUUCACUUUAAAGGAACUCAUUAUAAUGGCUUUUCGACUUAAGGAACAAAAUCCAAACAAAGGAUGAAAUUCGGAAAAAGGGACAAAGUUUGUUUCCCUUUCUUUAUUUCAAAUCUGCAAAAAAAGUGUCUUAAGCUGUAUUAUUCUCUUGAUUGAAAUUAAUAAUACAAUAUAAAACAUUCAUUUGCAGAUGUGAAAAAAAGUGUGUGCCUUAAUGUUGGUAGUUGAAGCUAAUUUGAUAAGUUGAAGUGAAAUUUGAUACAUUUGCCCAAAAUGAAUGGUCAAGCUGUGAGUGCUGAUAGAGAAAGGGCAGAUAAGAAUAAUGUAUGAGAAAAUUUUGCUGGUUGCAAUUUAAGAGUGUAACUAUAUAGAGUGGAUAGGUUAGCAAUGUGGCAGAUGUUGCAAGCACUAUAUGGAAUAGGUGGUAAGUUACUAAAUGCUGUAAAGAGUUUUUAUGAGGAUAGUGAGGCUCAGGUUAGGGUGUGUAGAAGAGAGGGAGAAUACUUCCCGGUAAAAGUAGGUCUUAGACAGGGAUGUGUACUGUCACCAUGGUUGUUUAAUAUAUUUAUAGAUGGAGUUGUAAAAGAAGUAAAUGCUAGGGUGUUCGGGAGAGGGGUGGGAUUAAAUUAUGGGGAAUCAAAUACAAAAUGGGAAUUGACACAGUUACUUUUUGCUGAUGAUACUGUGCUUAUGGGAGAUUAUAAAGAAAAAUUGCAAAGGUUAG